rnacentral:rRNA from 1 species
UACGGAGGAUCCAAGCGUUAUCCGGAUUUAUUGGGUUUAAAGGGUGCGUAGGCGGCUUAUUAAGUCAGGGGUGAAAGACGGUGGCUCAACCAUCGCAGUGCCUUUGAUACUGAUGAGCUUGAAUGAACUAGAGGUAGGCGGAAUGUGACAAGUAGCGGUGAAAUGCUUAGAUAUGACAUAGAACACCAAUUGCGUAGGCAGCUUACUACACGGUUAUUGACGCUGAGGCACGAAAGCGUGGGGAGCAAACAGG